rnacentral:rRNA from 1 species
UACGUAGGGGGCAAGCGUUGUCCGGAAUCAUUGGGCGUAAAGCGCGUGUAGGCGGCUGAGUAAGUCCGCUCUGAAAGCCCGGGGCUCAACCCCGGGAGGCGGGUGGAUACUGCUCAGCUCGAGUCCGGAAGAGGAGUGUGGAAUUCCUGGUGUAGCGGUGAAAUGCGCAGAUAUCAGGAGGAACACCUGUGGCGAAAGCGGCUCACUGGACCAUAACUGACGCUGAUGCACGAAAGCUAGGGGAGCAAACAGG